rnacentral:siRNA from 1 species
AGCGUCCUCCCUGGAGAGGUCUGC